rnacentral:rRNA from 1 species
GACGAACGCUGGCGGCGUGCCUAAUACAUGCAAGUCGAACGGAAAGGCCCUGCUUUUGUUCUCUGCUCGAGUGGCGAACGGGUGAGUAACACGUGAGUAACCUGCCCUUUACCUUGGGAUAACUUUUGGAAACUGUGGCUAAUACCGCAUAGGAGCUCCUGCUGCAUGGCGGGUGUUGGAAAGUUUCGGUGGCUUGGGCUGGACGGGAGGCUUAUCAGCUUGAUGGUGGUGUAGUGGCUAACCAAGGCUUUGGCGGGUAGCCGGCAUGGGAGGGUGACCGGGCACAUUGGGACUGAGGUAGGGGCCAGACGGCUACGGGAGGCAUCAGUGGAAAACAUUGCGCAAUGGGCGGAGGCCUGAAACAACGACUCCGCGUGCGGGAGGACUGCUUUCGGGUUGUAAACCGCGUUCGCCUGUGACGAAGAGUGAGUGACGGUAAUGGAUAAGAAAGCACCGGCUAACUACGUG